CGACGAUCGGUAGCCGAACUGAGAGGUUGAUCGGCCACAUUGGGACUGAGACACGGCCCAGACUCCUACGGGAGGCAGCAGUGGGGAAUAUUGCGCAAUGGGGGGAACCCUGACGCAGCGACGCCGCGUGAAGGAAGAAGGCCUUCGGGUUGUAAACUUCUUUGAUUGGGGACGAAGGAAGUGACGG
rnacentral:rRNA from 1 species